AACAUCAGGCACGGCUCAGGUGGCAUUCAUGACCACAUCUACACUCUUGUGUUCUGUCUCUCUGCCUUCCAGCCACUCAUGCAGGCAGAGGAAUGGGGGGAUUACUGAACUGACUUGGUGGAAUUGGACCGGUCUUACACCUGGCCAUAGAAGGACCUUGAGGAAGAGAGGAUUUCAGAUGUUGUGCGGACCCCGCGCGCACACACUCGGGAGGGCAGACAGGGGAGUGGACGUGUCCCUGGCCUCUCCCUCUGCGACUGUAUCUACCACCAUCCACCUCUCCUCCCCGUUCUCCUCGUCACCUCGGUUGGUUAAUUUAUCCACCGUGUCCUCUGGCAUGCUGUCUGUCCGCCCGUCUUGCACCCGGCAGUUCCUCUCCGCCAGCUCGUUCUUCAGGAAGUCUUGGAGGGCGAACUCUUCGUCCCAGUCCAGGUCUCCAUCUCCAGGCUGAGAGAAAGGAACAGAGAAAGACGAAUUAAAGCUUGGUGAGAUUGCCACAAAUCUCCCUCAGGCAAGUUGGAAAAUUAGGUUGUAGGCUUGAGUUGUGACAACAACAGUGGCCUCACAAUAAUAACUACUAACUAACAAAGAUGCCAUGAAAAUAUAGAAAAGCAAAAGGGAACCUCACAGUUUACCAUUCUUUAAAAUAACAUUCGUUAGAUUCUGAAUGGUAAUAAGAGCUUUUAGGAGUGACAGCCCUGAUUUUAUGAAUACAAACAAGAUCAUUUUAGUGCAUUAGCUUUUUCCUAAUGCAGGGAUAUAAUGAAUAAAUAAUUUUACAGCACAGAGUUUAUUAUGUUUUGCAGGUAAAAAAAAUAAAUGUUGAAGGGCAUGUUUGUGCAAAGAGCAGUGUGCAGUGUGUGUGUAUGCAUACUGUAACUGCUCUUCAAGCUAAAGAUCCAAUAUACUUAUAUUGUGAUAACUGAAUGUUAAUACACACAAAACAUGCAUGUGAAUUUUUUUAAACAAAUGCACUACAACCCUGAUUUUACCUUACAUCCAGUGAACACUAAUGUUGUAAGUGACAGAAGAUGACUUCCCAAAAGUUGGACAUGUCAGUUAGUAUCCUAACAACAAUGUUCACCGACUACAGAGUAAUGAUUACUUGUGAGAACGGUGGAACCAAGUAGUCGCUACCGUUUGUUAAAUAUCAGUUCCCUUCCUUUCUCUCUAACCUCUUCCUCUGGUGCAGGUGUCUGGCACGAGGCCUCUCUGCUGUCCUGGGGCGUCUUUAGCUGUUCCAGCUCCUCACUCAGCUGCCGCUUCUGGUUCUCCUGCUCCUGCACCCUGAGAACAAUCACACAGAAGCGUGGUUAUUAAAAAAAAAUAAAAAAAUCAACAACUGAUGAAAAAUAAUUUGUCAAGAGAAAUCCCGUAGAUAUAUGCACAUGCACUGAAAAAAACACAUGCACAGAGGUCCUGCAAGAUAGCACAGUGGACAUACUGUACCCAAUCCGCAGGCCCAUGCAGUGUCCCAUUCUGUUGCCCAGGGUGACCAGCGCCAGUUCUCCGACUGGCCUACUAAGGAUUCCUUCACUUCACAGUCUCCUAGAUCCGGUGACUCUCUGCCCGUCUAAUCUCAGAUCACACACAUGUGUCCAACAAAGUCUUAAUCCUCGCCCUGUGUUACAGUCCAGUUUUACCCUGAACAGUGUGUAAUGUCCCAGACACUCCACAGCAGGAGGAGGAAAUAUACCUACAAUGACCCCUACUUCUGUUUUCUUUUAUCCCCCCUCCAACCAAAUAUUAAAAGUUUCUGAGUUCACCCUGGCAACUGAGCACCAGUAAAUCCCAGCUGGAUAGCCUGACCGGGUUUCUCCCUCUCUGGUCUGACACGGUACCACACCAGCUCCGUUAUAUAUCUGAAGGGGACGGCCGUCUCCAUGAACACACAAGCAAAACAGACACACACAGAGAGCAGGGAGAAUCCAUCCACACACGGUCAGACUGGAGUCCAGAAAUUGGCCCGCUGAAGUGGUCCCUUUAAGGUCAUCGAGGUCGGGAUGACUGACGGCUCUUUCCCCCAUUCAGUACAACUGACUGGCCAACUGAGACGGAGCACUGGAGAGCAGGGACACACAUACAUACACAAACACACACACACCUUGCAGACACUUGCAGAGAUCCGACAUUCAGUAAUGCGUGCGGUGUGAUUAAUGUUUUGACAAAGUUUUACGAGUAUGAAUUACUUUGAAGCAGGAAUGACUUAGUUGGUUGCAUAAAAUCCUCCUUUAGCGGACUGAUUUUUUAUUAAUUCAGUACCAUGUUGCAUUUAAAAUCCUGGAUGCUCUGCAUGCACUAACGAGCUCAUGGAGACAGCUAAAGGCUUGUAUGGGCUUUGGAAGGUUAGCCAGGAUAGCCAGCUAAACCAGUUAGCUCAUUAUACCUAGACUGCAUUUUUUCAGAUGGAAAUUACGUUGCUAGAUUUAUAUCAACCUCCGGCUCUCUUACUAUAGUCUUGUGUCAGUGUUACCUUACUUAGCCAGGAAAUCCUUAGCGCUGCCCACAAGGGUUUAACUCAGCCAAUGAGAUCGCUGCUGCUAAGAGCAACUGAAGCCUGAAAAAAAAAAUUCUUACCUCAAACUCAAUGGUCUUUCAUUCCCCUGCACAAGACUCGGGGCAAUUCUAUUAACUUCAAUCUUCCUCUGCUCUUUUCACAGCAUCCCUCACUUCAGCUUUCUGACUACCCAGAUCUGUUUUAACAUGCACAGCCAGAGACGAGAGUCCUCACCUGACUGACAGGUGGAGGAUUUCUGUACGGGACCUCCUCAUGUUGCUGGCCAUUUUGAUCAGCUCCUUCUCCACAGAGUCCGUGUACUGGGCCAGCUUGUCCAGGCUGAGGGCCCAGUCUGCCCGCCUCGCAUCCAGCUCGGCCCGCACCGUCUGUGGGAAGACAAAGGCCAAGGGGUCAGCCGCCUGCUCGGAUGGACGGACACAGAGUGACUCACGGCUUAAAUAGCUGGUUUGUCUUGUACGCCUCCAAAAACUUCUGACACCUCACUGACAAAAUCUUCCCUCGGCAGCCAGCACACUGGAGAAAAAGCCCGGCCUGCACUGGGACAGAACUGUUCCACUAAUGAUUUCAGUCUCAUUUGCCAUGUUUACUGCUGUAUGGAAGUACGUGGCUAAUGAAUGCAGAGAGGCAACAAUACAAAGGGGGGGCAAGAGAGAAAGAGAGAGAAAUGCAGUGAGGGAGGAGGGGAGUGGGUUGUGUUCAUGGUACAACACAAUGACUAAAAAGCACCGCUUGGAUAGGGCCUGUUGGACAGUUAUAUAAGUGUGAGCUCUCUAGAGAGGAGAGAUAGUAGGUGGGAAGGACGGAAGGAGCAGAUAGACGGUGAUAGAGAAAGAGUGCAACAGGUGGAGGGAGAUGAAGCAUAGAUCGCAUUUAGUGAUUCACGUAAAAAAGAAAAAGAACUGAGAGCGCCUUUUAUUCAGCCUUAAAUCAGCCUGUAUACGUACACUCGGUGGGCUGACACUCAACAUAAAAGUGUGUGAGUGUGAGUGAGUGAGUGAGUGAGUGAGUGAGUGAGUGAGAGAGAAAGAGAAAGUGUGUAUCAGACCUCAAGACCGGUGUCUCUGUUGCCCCUGGGCUGUGUGUGAUCGUCUCGCAAGCCUCUUACUGUAGAUAAGACAGAGUUUGACUCUUCCCUGAACUCCAUUUUCUGAAAGACAUAAAGAAGCAUAUUGUGAAGGAGAAAUACUAGAAGAAAAAUUAUAAUAAAUAAUAAAAAAGAUAAAAUCGAUACAGAAAGGCAAGAUGUUUACAGUACAUGUUCUAGACAUGUAUGAACCUAAUGUGACACUACGCCAAAAUGUGCUUGAAUAAUCUCAACGUUUGAAAAUGUACUGAAACUUUGACGAUUUUUUUUUUUUUUAUGCACCUCAACAUAAUAGUCACGGUCUUUCAUAAGGAAGGGGAAGAUCAUCCAGACGCAGCCAGAGAAGCAGACAAACAAAUGACUUACAGUAAGACUAAGUUUAGUUUUGAGUUUGAGACAAAGAUCAGUCAUUUCUCCACAGUAACCUCACUGUGGUUCUGUUCGAGCUGUAACUGGUACAUUGUCUUGUCUACAUAGCUCGCAGCGAGUGGUAGCUGCAGCUACAGACUGCAAACAGGCACAAUGAACAAGUCAAGUUAAACUUUUGAAUAAAAACGAUUUCUACAAAUUCAACGACCAAUUCCACGCUGGCUUUGCGUUGACUGGGAUAAAGAGACAUUCAGAUUCUCAUUUUAUCUCAAAUGUAUGCAAGACUUCUUUGAAAUUUUUUUAAAGAUGCUACUUGUCCCCAAUCUGAGUUUUAAGGUUGAUCACACUUGGUUACCAGUUUGUUUAGUAAGCUUCUGAAGUCCGCAGCCAUUUGCUCAGGACUGGGUCCCUGCAGCAUCAGAAACACCUCCCUGUCCAGCGUCUCAUCCAGUGGAGAGGUGAUGCUCAAAGUAGCAGACAAUUGGUCGACUGCAUGGGGAGCCUGUGGGAGACAACAAUAGCAAAAAGACACCUAAACCGCGAAUAGGUGGGAAGCAAGACAGUUUGAGGAAGAAAAAUUCACAGAUUAAUCACCUGAUGGUGGCAGCAGCCUGCUAAGCAGGGUGUUCCAGAUGUCCCCCUCGCCCAUCAAUGGUUUCCAGCUCCUCCUGGGGGAUCCCUCUGGCAAGUUCUGGGUCUACCCCUGGGUUUCCUCACAGUUGGUAGGAGGUUUGCCCAGGAGGCAUCGGGACAAGUUGCCAACUGGCCCCUUUCGACGUGGAGGAGGAACUCCUCUACUGCAAGCUCCCUCUCUAAGGCUGAACCCAUCCACGCUGCGGAGGAAACGUAUUUCUCGUAAUUUGCAAUCUCACUCUUCGGUCACCAUCUAAAGCUCCUGACCCUGACAGGUGAGGGUCGUGAUGUAGAUCAAGACCAAAGUGGUCCAGUAAUAUUCCUGCAUACGAUCCGCCUAUCCAUCUUCCCCUCACUCGUGCCUCAGCCCCUCAAUGUCACUACCUCAACCCGACUACCAGGUGAUUGUUGGGUUCACUUACCCAGCCAGGUCUGGAUGCAUCAUCUGCAUCUGGCUCUCAAGCUUGCUCUUGUCCGCCCUCAGCAGCUGGAAUGAACAAACAGAUGAACCGACCAGGACUCAGUCCAUCGCAUUAAGAUAUUUCCUGAGGUCAACUACACAGCAUGCCCCUUUUUUCUCCUCAACAACACACAGCUGUAAACUACAGGACCUGUGUGUGUGUGAGAGGACAGCAUGUGAUCGAAUUCACACAGUCUCCAUUCACAUGCUGAUAAUUGUACAGUAAACAUCCUAACAUACAACAAUGUUAUUUUUUCCUUUGUUAAAGUACAAUUGCAUCUUCCCCUAAAUAUUCACACAGAAAUCAAAAUUACUAGCUGGGUGAUAUUGUCAAUAUUUCUCAUCUGAUUUAAAUGGUGCUAUUUAAAAAAAAAAAAAUCCAGAUUUAAUACAUCUGAUAACGUCUUCUGUGGCUCUUCUUUUCCAAAUUCAAAUUCGACACAAGGAUUUUCCAUCGCUUUGCACAGGACGACGGUGAGAAUCCGCUAAAGAAAAAAGCAGUGGAGCACAUAUAAUGUCUGCGUUGACACAAAUUAAAAACAGGCCAAGAGAAAUGGAUGAAAGCAGGAAAAGAGUCUCUCUGAUAAACUCUUACUGAGGCAUAGAAGUUGAAAUAAUGAUAUUAUGUGCAACACACUGACCUCUGUGAUGGAGGAGUAUUCCUCCACUGCUGCCUUCAGCUCAUCUAUCUGUCUGCUUUUCUGUGAAAGGAGGCAAAGGAAACAGGACGAGUUUGAAAACAAACGGAAGAAGACAGCAAGAUUCAAGUGAUUUUUUUGAAAGGAGGAUCACAGAGAGGAAUGAGAUGAAUAAUAAAACCAGACAAAAACACCAACCCCAUGGAUCACAGCUUCCUUUUCACUGACGACACUAUCGAAAGAGUGGAUUUGCACCUGAGGACCGGGAGAGAGUGGUUACAUAACAACUUAAAGGAUGCUCGCAGAAUUUCUAAUUAGCUUGAGAUGGAUUUACAAUGCAAAGGUAUAUAUACACGCAAUAAAAAUCUGUGUGCGUGGGAGAGAGAAUAAGAGAAGGACACUGUGGGAGAGGUCUACGGUGCAGCAGGAUAAAGAUGAAAUAAUAGUGUGGAAAAAUAUAAAAACAUUUUGCAAAAAAAAGAAGGUACCUGAAGGUCAGCGUUCAUGUCACACAGCUCUGCUAUUCUCCUCUGAAGCUCGUCCGUCUCCAUGGUGACCUUGAAGUUCUGUGGAGCCAUCAGAGAAGUGGUGAGGACAAACAAACAAUAUACUCUCUGUGAGCCAUUUGUGAACGGGCGAUGCCUUGUGAAGUCAGGUCAGUGAAGUACCUCCUCCUGAAGGGAAGCAAUCUUGGCAAUAAGACUCUGGUUUUCUCUCUCCUACAGAAACAGAAGAUCCAUCAACAGCGUCUUUGGAAACACACACUCAGUCCUUUGUCCUCAGACUUUGUAUAUAUAUAUAUAUAAAAUAUUCUAAUAUCUAAGAACAUUGGCUAAGAAUUUUCAAAAAUAAUUUGUUGUUGAAUACAUUGAACUUAAUUUCAAAUAUAAUCAGGGACAUAGAGAAGUUUAUGACAAAAUAAAUCUUUUAAUAUAGUUAAUAUUGUGUAUGACCAAAGUUAUGUCUCAGAGACAGUAUUUAUUUUUGUGGUCUACAAUACAGUAUUUUUUUUAGGUGCAUUUGUCUGUAAAUAGUGUGAGAAUAACAAACAAAAGACAUUCAUUCUCUUUUGUAAGCAGGAUGUAUUUUUAUAGACCCUUUAUGUGCUGCCGGACUGACCACGUGUUUGCUGUGCGCGGAGGCGCGAGCUCUGCCUUCCUCCGUACAACUCAGAGUAGCCUUCAUCUCCUCCACCUCGUCCUUCAGCAUUUUCUCCUUCUGGGUGAGUUGCUGGUUACUGCGCGACGAGGAUGA